UACGGAAGGCAGCAGUGGGGAAUAUUGCACAAUGGGCGCAAGCCUGAUGCAGCCAUGCCGCGUGUAUGAAGAAGGCCUUCGGGUUGUAAAGUACUUUCAGUCGUGAGGAAGGUGUUAAGGUUAAUAACCUUAGCAAUUGACGUUAGCGACAGAAGAAGCACCGGCUAACUCCGUGCCAGCAGCCGCGGUAAUACGGAGGGUGCGAGCGUUAAUCGGAAUUACUGGGCGUAAAGGGCACGCAGGCGGUUAAUUAAGUUGGAUGUGAAAUCCCCGGGCUUAACCUGGGAAUGGCAUUCAAGACUGGUUAGCUAGAGUCUUGUAGAGGGGGUUAGAAUUCCAUGUGUAGCGGUGAAAUGCGUAGAGAUGUGGAGGAAUACCGGUGGCGAAGGCGGCCCCCUGGACAAAGGCUGACGCUCAUGUGCGAAAGCGUGGGGAGCAAAC
rnacentral:rRNA from 1 species